UGGGGAAUAUUGGACAAUGGGGGAAACCCUGAUCCAGCGACGCCGCGUGGGUGAAGAAGGCCUGCGGGUUGUAAAGCCCUUUCGGUAGGGACGAAAGCUCUUGCUCUAACAAAGCAGGAGGUUGACUUAACCUACAUAAGAAGCACCGGCUAACUCUGUGCCAGCAGCCGCGGUAAUACAGAGGGUGCGAGCGUUAAUCGGAAUUACUGGGCGUAAAGCGCACGUAGUCGGCUUGUCAAGUCGGGUGUGAAAUCCCCGGGCUCAACCUGGGAACUGCAUCCGAAACUGACUUGCUAGAGUAUGGGAGAGGGAGGCGGAAUUUCUGGUGUAGCAGUGAAAUGCGUAGAUAUCAGAAGGAACAUCAGUGGCGAAGGCGGCCUCCUGGACCAAUACUGACGAUCAGGUGCGAAAGCGUGGGGAGCAAACAGG
rnacentral:rRNA from 2 species